CAGAAUAUUGUGCAACAUGGUUAUGGGUACUACAGUGGAUGUGAGUGUGUAGACCUUGUACAAUAGAGCUUAUAGGCUAAUGAGAAGACAGGAAGAAACAACAGGAACACAUAUAGCUGGAAUGCAGAUGGGAUCUGUGCUACUUACGCUAGCCAUGGGAUGAUUAGAACAAGAUAAGAGACAUGAGGAAGACUUCUUCAAGGAGGUGCUCAAGCCAUGUUUUGGAAAAGAGAACUCAAGGUCUGGCAGGGAGAAAGGAGCAAGACUGCCUGGCAGCUCUUUAGAAAGUUGUGUGACGUAUGAACCAGUUCUUCCCUAUAUGAGAGUGUACCGUACAUCGCAGGCUGUCCAGCAUCGACCCCACUGAUGGAUGCUAGUAGUCCUCCCCGCCAGCACUCAACAUUGUGACAGUCAAAAACAUCCUCUCUACAUUUUCAAUGCCCCUGUUGGGGUAGCAGGACUCCCACUGAGAGACCCCAGUAGAGAUGGUCCCCAAGCAUGCUAACCAUGAAGCAGUGAUAUCGCACAGCACCUGCUUCCAGCAGCCCGGAGCCAAGGGGCAAAAUGGAAAGAGUCAGCAUUUCUCUUUUAGGUUCUCUGCCUCUCUAGUGUGUAAGCUUUUAACCCCCACUACGCGUCUUCGUUCCAUUCUCCUCCAGUACCCAUUUUAGUGAGCUUCUGUUGUUUCUGCCCCAGGAUAUCUCUAACAAAGAACCAAGAUAUUUAUCAGGAGAACUUCUCCCACUCUCCUCUCAGUCCUUGGGGAUCUGAUGAAAUGACACUUCUUGGACUGUGGGGUGGAGCAUGUGAGUCACACCUGGGCCAAUCAUUUUAUCCUAUUUCGUGACCACAUGACCAAUUCAGGGAUGGGAACAUGACCCAGGUGGAACCUAUGAGAGGCAGUGAGAUCUUUCCAGGUACUUCCAGGAAAGAGGGUCUCACUUUUCCCUCUAUAAUGUACACCAGAGAAGGUGUGUGGCUGAAGCUGCUACCAUCCUCUUGUGGCUACAGGAAGCUGGGAUUAAUUGUAACAACGCAAUUGGCAGAUCUGAAAGCUGAGAACAAAAAAGCAAAAAACCUGUGUUCUAAUAACACUAUAUAUGAGCCCUAAAUCCAGCUAUGCCUGGAGCCAGUCUUACUGUGGAAUUUUUAACCUAAGCUGGUUGAUAAAUUAUCUUUUCAUUUAAGACAAAGUCAUGGCAGAUUUUUUGCCACUUGUGAGAAGAAGACAGAUACACCCAAGAAGCUCCUGUUCUUUCUCAUUAACCCAUAUUAAAACCCACUUUCGGGAAAGGAUUCUCCAUUCUAAAUUAUUAAUAACUGAUAAUGCUUCAAAGUCAAAGUAUGACUCCUUCAAGAAAGUUUUCAGCUUUCAGGAUUUGUUCAGCAAAUACUGAGCCCCUUCUGAUGCAAAUAGACAUGGCAGUGUAUGCUAGGAGGAGAGUGUAGCCAAGUUUUCCCAUCAAACUCGGUAUUUCAGUGCCUAAUUUUGGCCAUUCAGAUAAGUUUCAACUUCUAGUAAUGGCCAAGUAAAUUAUAUCUAACUAAACCUUCUGCCAAAGACAGUGGUAAAUUCUGGACCCAAAACACAAUGAUAACAACAAAACCUGUUUGAAGGUUCUUGAAACUGGCCAACAUGGUUUGGUUCUGCAGACAAAAACUGAAGACAUGACCCUUGAAAAAAGGAAAUCACAUAUGGUGAGAUACACAUUUAUCAGGUUUUCCUUCAGCAGCGCUAUCCAUUUCCUGCAGUGGACGGAGGUAGAGCUCAGCAGAAAGUGGCUGUUCUACUGAGUUAAAAAGUUAGAGGUUAGAAUUUGGGGCUUCCACAGUAGCAGGAGAUUGGGAAGGAGGGAAUCUCGCAAAGGAGGGAGUCUCAGAUGGGGAGCUCCCAAAUCUGUGUACAAACUUCUCUGAUUCCUAAACUGUGCAUCUGGGUGAGGUUCAAGGAGCUGAGGGAAAAAUAACAGCUGGAAGGCUAAAAAGGUGUUGUCUUGUGUUGAGCAGAUGGUGCUUAGGGUUUAGUUCUCACCAAGUUAGAGGACUCUGGAGAACACCUAAAGCUUUCUACUGAGACUACAGAAGGAGUAAUGACUACUCCCCAGGACUAAAGCCUAUGUCCUAGGAAUAAAGGCAAAACCAAGAUAGGCCCACCCUGACAAAGCCUAAAACCAACUCUUCAUAGCCGCAUUAUGCAAUAUAGUAACUUCUAGGCACACAUGGCAUUUCAAAUUUAAUUAAAACUAAGUAAAAUUUAACAUGUAGUUCCUCAGACACACUAGCCACAUUUCAAAUGUUCACAGACACAUGUAGUUAAUGGCUAUGAUACUGGACUGCACAGACUACAGAAUAUUUCUAUCAUCAUGGAAGUUCUAUUGAAUGGCAUUGCUCUAUAGGAUCAAGACUAUGCUAGUAAUUUAACUGCUUGAUAGAACAAAUGUCAAAUUUCUUCUAAGGAAGAUAGUAGACUCCAAAGUCUUUUUAAUAUCAUCCAAAAUGCUCAGCAUACAAUUUUUAAAAAUUACUAAUUGUGCAAAGAAUCAGGAAAAUGUAACCUACAGUGAAGAGAAACAACAGGUGAUAAACAUAGACUCACAAGUGACCCAGAUGUUAGAAUUACAAAAGACUUAAUAACUAUAAUAAGUUAAAGAGUCUAUAGGAAAAUAUAUCUGUAGUAGCUGAAGAGAUGGAAAAUUUUAAGAGAGCUAUGGAAACUUUAAAAAAGAACCGAAUGGAAAUCCUGAAACUGAAAGAUACAAUAUCUGACAUUGAAAAUGCAUUAGUUUGGAAUUAACAGCAUAAUGAACACAACAUAAAAAAUCAGUGAGGCUGGAUGCGGUGGCUCACGCCUGUAAUUCCAGCACUUUGGGAGGCCGAGGUGGGCAGGUCACUUGAGGUCAGGAGUUCAAGACCAGGCUGGCCAACAUGGUGAAACCCCAUCUCUACUAAAAAUACAAAAAUUGACCUGGCGUGGUGGUGGGCACCUGUAAUCCCAGCUACUCAGGAGGCCGAGGCAGGAGAAUUGCUGGAGCCAAGUAGGCAGAAGUUGCAUGUGCUGAGAUCACGCCACUGCACUCCAGCCUGGGUGACAGAGCAAGACUCUGCCUCAAAAAGAAACAUUAAAAAAAAAUUAAUAAAUAAAUAAGAAAUCAUCAGUGAACUUGAAGACCAGUCAACGGAUAUUAUUUAAUCAGAAAGAAAAAAAGAUUAGAAUAAAAAGAAGAAUAGGGCCUAAAAAUCCUGUGGGAUAAUAUCAAGCAGUCUAACAUAUGUAUAUUUAGAGCUCCAGAAAGAGAAGAGAAACAGAAUGAAGUAGAAAAAGUAUUUGAAGAAAUAUUGACUGGAAAGCCAGGCACAGUGGCUCACACCUAUAAUCUCAGCACUUUGGGAAGCCAAGAUGGAAGGAUUACUUGAGCCCAGGAGUUCGGGACCAGCCUGGGCAACAUAGCAAGACCCAGUCUCUACAAAAAAAUUAAAAAAUUAGACAGGCAUGGUGGUGUGUACUUGUAGUCCCACCUACUCAGGAGACUGAGGCAGGAGGAUCACUUGAGCCCAGGGGGUCAAGGCUGUAGUGAGCCGUGAUUGUACCACUGCCCUCCAGCCUGGGUGAUGAGUGAGAUGCUGUCUCAAAAAAAAAAAAAAAAAAAAAAAAAGAAAGAAAGAAAGAAAGAAAAGAAAUAUUGACAGGAAAAUCUUCCGGUUUGAUCAAAAACAGUAACCUCAGCAAACUCCCAGUAGAAUUAUUUCAGCCAUUUAGAUGUCUCUGACCCAAAACCCAGCCCCACCCAACUCACUGACAAGACACAAGGUAAUAUACAGACCAAGAAUUUCUGCAAGGAUAAUAGGGCCUGAGAUGAGGGUACAGAUAUUCAGAGGCAGUGCCGACACUGAAAAAAUUCCACAGGUUUCUUCUCAGAAUCUUGCUGACUCCAGAAAACAAGUCUAGAGUAUACUUUUCCUACUGAAGGAUCUGACAGUCCUCUUUCAGGCCACCCUGAGACGGGCUCCAUAAUAUUUUGAAAGUAUUAGGUUGAUUUGACUUUAGCUUCAAUUCUACUUAAAGGAAAGAUAUAUUUAGAUAGAGAAUAGAUUUCUGGGAGCUAGAGAAAAUGAGGCAAAAAAGAGCUAGAGUAAAGCUAACCCAAAACAUAGAUAGCCCCUUAUCAAGAAUCGGGUUGAGUGGAAUGAAGAAAAAGUUGGCAGGAUUUACCCCCACAAUGAUGCACACAUUCUUGGUGGGGGCCCUUAGUUACAUGGGUCAGGAACUAAUAAGUCCCUGUGGCACUUUUGAUGCUUUCUGUGGCAAGUAACAACAACAACAAUCAUCACAAUCAUAACAACUUAUCAAACUGACUUAAACAUAAGGAAAUUUGUUAUUUCACAAAACUGAAAUUUUAGGACUAAACUCAGGACUUUUAAGUUGCACCUUGAAUAGCUAAACAGAGUGUUGAGUUGCACACUUGUCUGGCUGAACAAAUCAGGAGCUGGUUGAUUCAGAAGCCCAAUGAUGCCAACACAGACCCAUGUCUUUCCUUCCCUCUUCUGCUCUUCUUGUCAAAGGUUUCACCUUAAGGUCAGUUCCCUUCAAGUGUCAAGUAUACAUGUGCAUACCUGGUCAUAUCUAGCAGGAGAAAGAGAAAACAAGAAAACUCUUCCCUUGAUCAAGGAGUGUAAGUCCUUCGCUUUAGCCUGAUUUAACCAAAUUAAGUUGUACCUAUAAGGAAAAAGGUAAUUUGUCUUAGGUAGUAGCAAUGAGAUUUUAGAACUGAUACUGGUUGGGUACCUUCAAGUCUGUGUUUCUAUACAAUUUCUUAACAUGGGCCUCUGAUAUUAGGGAGAUUCUGGAGUUACAUAUCUUGAUAAUUUAGGAGUAAAUUUCCCUUAGCAACAGUUAAUUAUGCCUUAAUUUAUUUUGUGUUGCUAAAGAGCAAAUGAUGAACCCAUUGAGUUGCUGUUGAAGCUUUGAUUUGAAUUUAGUAAUUCCUGAUUGCCUGUAUCAUGGGACUUUCUCUAGUAUUAGACAAUCUUCCAGUUCCUCAAAUGAGGCAUGUUCUAUUAGGCAGCAACUGGUGUGUUUGAGACCAUUUGUAAGUAUUUUAGGUGAUAGACAAUAAUACACAUAGUGCCAAUGAUAAAGUCAAUCCAGUCACAGGACCACCCAGAAAAUAUUGGGGACUCUAACAAAAGGAGCAACAAAAUCCAAAACAAUCAUAACAAAAAAUGAAAGAGGGAACACUGAAUUUGAUGAAUUAAAAAUUAUGAGAAGAUUUUUGUUGGAAAUAUUCAGAUGGCAGUAACUUCUAAUGUGACUAAGCUAUCCUGUUGCAUAGUGAAACCAGUUUGCUAAGUACCUUUUGUUUUGUUUUGUUUUGUUUGAGGCAAUGUCUUACUCUGUCACCCAGACUGGAGUGCAGUGGUGCUACUACAGUUCACUGCAGUCUCAAUCUCUCAAGCUCAAGCGAGCCUCCUGCCUUAGCCUCCUGAGUAGCUGGGACCACAGGCACAUGCCACCACAGGCACAUGCCACCACACCCAGGUCAUUUUUAAAAAUUUUUGGUAGAGAUGAAGCCUCACUGUAUUGCCUAGGCUAAUCUCGAACUCCUGUGCUCAAGCAAUCCUCCCACCUUGGCCUCCCAAAGUGCUGGGAUUACAGGUGUGAGCCACUGCACCAGGCCCAAAGUACAUUUUUCACACCUGAUUGGAUUUUGUUCUAGUUGGCCUAUCCACUAUGUGGUAUGAGUAUACUUCCUGGGUAAUGAGAAUGGCAAACACUUGUGAUUACCUAGUUGUCAAGAUGAUUACUAAUUCUAACCUAGCAUUCUAAUCUAGAGUUCGUUUCUAGAUUAGAAUUAGUAAUCAAGUCACAGUGAAAGAAAAAAAGAGUUUCUGGGAAGGCAGAAGGAAAAAUUGGUAAAUUCACUUUUACUGUUUACAUAUUGACUUGUUUUUCUUAAUGUUAACUGCAGAAUUUGUUUCGUCAUCCAAGGUGCAAAUAAAAGUCCUGAGAGUUUAGUUCUAUGUCAUCUCUUUUAUAAAUAACAGAUGUCAGUUAUACUGCCAUGCACCUGUUAACCUCGGAGGCACCCUCACUGCCCACUAACCCCCUCCUUGCUCUAGAGGUGCCGAGAAUGGGUGAAAGCAGAGGGGGGAUACCCAAGCCAAAGUGAAGCAGAGGUAAAAUGGCAUGGA
rnacentral:lncRNA from 1 species